CUCCCCUCUGCAUGUGAUUCAAUUACCUUACACAAUGGGUAAUGUAAUUUAGCACAAGCAGAAAAAUACAAUUUUUCCACAUUAUUCAUAACUUGAAAAGUAUGCAUCACAUUCACAUAAAACUUACAUUUUCAGAAUCAGCAUACUCCAAAUACAAACAUACGUCAAAAUCAUACAAAUUGGUCCAGUGGUUCAAAAGAUAGAUCGUAAUCCUUUGUGACCACAGGAAGCAUGGCUUUUCUGCCCAAAACCAGUUCCACAGAGUCUUCUAUCCUGGAGAUAAUUAGAAGUAAUCCAAUUAUCUCCAAAGACAGAGGCAAAACUCCAUUGAACACAUGACAG